GACCGCGUAUAGCUCAGUUGGAAGAGCAUUGGGCUAGUAUUCCGAAGGUCGUAGGUUCGAAUCCCACCGUGGCCG
rnacentral:tRNA from 1 species